rnacentral:SRP_RNA from 1 species
GCCAGGCACAGUGGCGUGUGCCUGUAAUCCCAGCUACUCAGGAGGCUGAGGUGGGAGAAUCGCUUGACCCUGGGAGGCUGAGGUUGCAGUGAGCUGAAAUUGCGCCACUGCACCCCAGCCUGGGCGACAAAGCGAGGCUCCAUCUAAA